rnacentral:rRNA from 1 species
GACGAACGCUGGCGGCGUGCUUAACACAUGCAAGUCGAACGAUGAAGCUGGAGCUUGCUCCGGUGGAUUAGUGGCGAACGGGUGAGUAACACGUGAGCAAUCUGCCCUUCACUCUGGGAUAACUGCGGGAAACUGUAGCUAAUACCGGAUACGAGACCUUGGGGCAUCCCAGGGUCUGGAAAGAAUUUCGGUGAAGGAUGAGCUCGCGGCCUAUCAGCUAGUUGGUGAGGUAAUGGCUCACCAAGGCGACGACGGGUAGCCGGCCUGAGAGGGUGACCGGCCACAAUGGGACUGAGACACGGCCCAGACUCCUACGGGAGGCAGCAGUGGGGAAUAUUGCACAAUGGGCGAAAGCCUGAUGCAGGAACGCCGCGUGAGGGAUGAAGGCCUUCGGGUCGUAAACCUCUUUUAGUAGGGAAGAAGCGCAAGUGACGGUACCUACAGAAAAAGCACCGGCUAACUACGUGCCAGCCGCCGCAGUAA